rnacentral:rRNA from 1 species
GCCAACAGCUAUAUCACCUUGCAACUGGCAACCCACAGAAGCUAAGCAGGUGUGAGUCUGUCCAGUACCUAGAGGGGAGACUUCCUGGGAAAGCUAAGGUUGUUGCUG